rnacentral:sRNA from 1 species
AGAAAUCAUGUGCAAAUUGGAAAGCAUUAAAGAGAUCAGAUAUAAGGUCUCACUAUGUUGCCCAUGCUGGUUUCAAACUCCUGGGCUCAAGUGAUCCUCCUGCCUCUGUCUUCCAAAUUGCUGAGAUUACUGGCAUGAGCCAUUGCACCUGGCCUUCUUUUUUGAGAUGGCCUCAGGUUGGCUCUGCCUGGAGAGGGGGAAGCUUGUAAAGAUGGCUUAGAAAAAAAGUCCUGGCUCCAUUUCUAUUUUCUCCCUUCUUUUGCUGGCCUGUUUCCUGCUUUUUGCAAAUUGCAGGAACAAGACCCUGCAGAUGGAGAAGAUCAAGGCUCGUUUGAAGGCUGAGUUUGAGGCACUUGAGUCAGAGGAAAGGCACCUGAAGGAAUACAAGCAGGAGAUGGACCUUCUGCUACAGGAGAAGAUGGCCCAUGUGGAGGAACUCCGACUGAUCCACGCUGACAUCAAUGUGAUGGAAAACACUAUCAAACAAUCUGAGAAUGACCUAAACAAGCUGCUAGAGUCUACAAGGAGGCUGCAUGAUGAGUAUAAGCCACUGAAAGAACAUGUGGAUGCCCUGCGCAUGACUCUGGGCCUGCAGAGGCUCCCUGACUUGUGUGAAGAAGAGGAGAAGCUUUCCUUGGAUUACUUUGAGAAGCAGAAAGCAGAAUGGCAGACGGAACCUCAGGAGCCCCCCAUCCCUGAGUCCCUGGCCGCUGCAGCCGCUGCCGCCCAACAGCUCCAAGUGGCUAGGAAGCAGGACACUCGGCAGACGGCCACCUUCAGGCAGCAGCCCCCACCUAUGAAGGCCUGCUUGUCAUGUCACCAGCAAAUUCACCGGAAUGCA